rnacentral:tRNA from 1 species
ACAAACGGUUGGUGGUGUAGCUUAGUUGUUAGAGCGUCGGUGCAUCACACCGGAGACCCCAGAUCGAAACUGGGCAUCACCAACCUUAUGUUACUUUU